rnacentral:lncRNA from 1 species
GUUGGCACAGAAAAAUCUUUAUGGCGACAAUAGAACACCUACCUAAGAAGAACACACUGGGAAGAAGUUUUCCGAGUCCUGGAGGUGUGAGUAAGAGAAAAUCCAGCCUUCUGGAACAGUAAGAAGUUUAGGGGCCAUUUGUGGCCAUUUUGUGAUUUGGGGAGAUCCUUGUUAUUGAAUAAGCUCACAAAGGUCUGCUCACAAGACAAAGAGGUAGAUGGGCAGGGAGGAAGGAUAUUUCUUCUCGAUGCUUGUUUUCUAUAAGCCACCAUUGGCAAGACUGUCUACUACGUGUAGGCAUGGGAACCAGUUAAAGAAAGUCUUGAUUCACUAGAGUGAAGCUGAGAACUCACUGGCCUUUGUGUGGGGUGAAUGUGUCCGGAAAGGCAAAGAAGGGCGAGAUUCUCCUGUGGGGUUUCUCAUCUCCAUGGCGGUAGGUGCUGACAGCUUCAGAGGGAGCAGGAAGGAGCAAAGAGAAAGGAGCCUGAGAUGUGUGGUUGCAGCUCUCCGAGGAGAUGAAAAGGACACAGGGUUUUGGUCUGAACUUCAUUAUCUGUAACUAAGAUACUGCCAUUCUUCAGCGGGUUGACAAGAUGUCUGUGGUAUACUUGGCAAGAUGGAGACUCCUCCAGGGCAGUAGUAGUCCUCAUAAUGCUCAGUAAUAGCCUUCACAAUGCUUCAGAUAUAGGAGCUAGGGGAAAGGACUUGAAUCGGAGAGAGUGUCGCUGUCGGUUCUGUUCUGUCCUGGGAAGUGCACGAGGAAGAGAAAACGUCCGGGGAAGAGAGAGGGUGGCUGGCACUGAAGGGGAGGGUCUGCGGCAACCCCUAUGUUUUAACUGAAAACUGAAAUCAACAAAUAGCAACAGAACUAUUACUAGUACAAAAUCCACCUGGAUG